rnacentral:tRNA from 1 species
GGAGGGAUGUCCGAGUGGUUGAAGGAGCUCGCCUGGAAAGCGGGUAUGCCGUGUUGAACGGUAUCGAGGGUUCGAAUCCCUCUCCCUCCG